CUCCUUCGGGAGCGGAAUCUUUAGUUCAGUGGCGGACGGGUGAGUAACGCGUGAGCAAUCUGCCUUUAAGAGGGGGAUAACAGUCGGAAACGGCUGCUAAUACCGCAUAAAGCAUCGAAACCGCAUGAUUUUGAUGCCAAAGGAGCAAUCCGCUUUUAGAUGAGCUCGCGUCUGAUUAGCUGGUUGGCGGGGUAACGGCCCACCAAGGCGACGAUCAGUAGCCGGACUGAGAGGUUGAACGGCCACAUUGGGACUGAGACACGGCCCAGACUCCUACGGGAGGCAGCAGUGGGGAAUAUUGCGCAAUGGGGGAAACCCUGACGCAGCAACGCCGCGUGAUUGAAGAAGGCCUUCGGGUUGUAAAGAUCUUUAAUCAGGGACGAAACAAAUGACGGUACCUGAAGAAUAAGCUCCGGCUAACUACGUGCCAGCAGCCGCGGUAAUACGUAGGGAGCAAGCGUUGUCCGGAUUUACUGGGUGUAAAGGGUGCGUAGGUGGCAAGGCAAGUCAGAUGUGAAAGCCCGGGGCUCAACCCCGGUAUUGCAUUCGAAACUGUUUAGCUAGAGUGCAGGAGAGGUAAGUGGAAUUCCUAGUGUAGCGGUGAAAUGCGUAGAUAUUAGGAGGAACACCAGUGGCGAAGGCGGCUUACUGG
rnacentral:rRNA from 1 species